rnacentral:rRNA from 1 species
CAAUAGCGUAUAUUAAAGUUGUUGCAGUUAAAAAGCUCGUAGUUGGAUUUGUGGCGUACGGUGUGUUCCGGGCACUUGUUGUCUGAGUAACCUGCUGUUGCCAUCCUUGGGUGGAACCUGUGUGGCAUUAGGUUGUCGUGCAGGGGAUGCCCAUCAUUUACUGUGAAAAAAUUAGAGUGUUCAAAGCAGGCUUAUGCCGUUGAAUAUAUUAGCAUGGAAUGAUGAGAUAGGACUUUUUUGCUAUUUUGUUGGUUUGCGCAAGAAGGUAAUGAUUAAUAGGGACAGUUGGGGGUAUUCGUAUUCCAUUGUCAGAGGUGAAAUUCUUGGAUUUUUGGAAGACGAACUACUGCGAAAGCAUUUACCAAGGAUGUUUUCAUUAA